GACGAACGCUGGCGGCGUGCUUAACACAUGCAAGUCGAACGGAAAGGCCCUGCUUUUGUGGGGUGCUCGAGUGGCGAACGGGUGAGUAACACGUGAGUAACCUGCCCUUGACUUUGUGAUAACUUCAGGAAACUGGGGCUAAUACCGGAUAGGAGCUCCUGCUGCAUGGUGGGGGUUGGAAAGCUUGGGCGGAUGGGGAUGGACGUGGGGCUUGUCAGCUGGUGGGUGGGGUAGUGGCUAACCAAUGCUUUGACGGGUAGCCGACCUGAGAGGGUGACCGGCCACAUUGGGACUGAGAUACGGCCCAGACUCCUACGGGAGGCAGCAGUGGGGAAUAUUGCACAAUGGGCGGAAGCCUGAUGCAGCAACGCCGCGUGCGGGAUGACGGCCUUCGGGUUGUAAACCGCUUUCACCUGUGACGAAGCGGGAGUGACGGUAAUGGGUAAAGAAGCACCGGCUAACUACGUG
rnacentral:rRNA from 1 species